CUGUGCUGAACUUCAGAUUAACGUCACCACAGUCAGUGGGUCGAAGUUUGGAGAAUUCCAGUGCGGGUUUUUCUCUCGUCUCCACACAGAGGUGAGGAAUUUAAUAUCAGCUCCAAACAGCCAUCAAUCGGUUUUAAUUCCUCAUUGUGUCAGUUGAUAUAUUUCUCCUUCCUCCUGCUGUGUGCAUCUGCAGUGUGUUGUGUGUGUGUGUGUGUGUGUGUGUGUGUGUGUGUGUGUGUGUGUGUGUGUGUGUGUGUGUGUGUGUUGUGAAGGUGAAUAACGUUCUGCUCGCUUCAGUUGUGACUUUCAGAUGCACGUGACGUCGUGUUCGAACGUUAAUGAAAUGCAGAAACAGAUCCAUCAGCUGUUGGAGCGGCGGUAUGAUAACGGCACCGUGAGCCUGGAUGCUGCUCCAGAACACAUCCACAUCACACACAUACACCCCGGUCAGUGUCCUCACCAGCCACAGCAGACUCGUCGGGGUCUGUACAUUUGGAUCAGAACUUCGGCUCAACGCGUAAACACACAGCAGUGUGAAGGAGAUCUGACUCACAAAGCAACACGCCAGUGGUACCACACACACACAUACACACACACACACACACACUCUCACACACACACUUAUAAUAUUCCCAUAUUAGUUUGGGUCACGGGUUGAUGUUCUGCAUGUAAAAUGAAAGUUAAAGUGUGUGUGUGUGUGUGUGUGUGUGUGUGUGUGUGUGUGUGUGUGUGUGUGUUUCACUCCUGAGUAAACACAGUGUGAGUGUUACAGAUGUGUAUGUUUGCCAUCUGACAUCUAAUGACCCAUUAAUAAGGUGAACAGGCUGUUCAAACACACACACACACACACACACACACACACACACACACACACACAUUUAAUGACUGUCCCAUAACGUACAGUGAGAUGUGUCCGUAUCUGAG
ensembl:lncRNA